CGCCAGUGUACAUAUCCUGGCCUUCGUAGGAUCUAAAUUCAGUCAACUGCGUCUGAAUCGACUGAGCAAUCUGCAUAACGAAAGCAGGAGGCAGCUUCAAGUCUUUUGCGGUCCUUUUAGCGAACACCACCACCUCAGAAUCAGGAUCGGAAGGAUUCCAAGUGAAAGCAUCUUUGAAGCGGUGGCCAUCGAUUUCUAUGUCCAGUCGAAUUGGUACUAAAUUCUCCGCUGUUGGCAUUCUGAACUUGACAGGUGCUUUUGAAGACGUAGGUGGCAGGGCUUUCAUUUUAAUUUGUGAUCUUCCGUCUGCAAACAAACUAGUUGGGAGGGAAUCAAAGCUCAAUUUGCUCUUGCUACGUUUCUUUACCUCGCAACUGACACAAGACGAAGGGCAUUAAUCAGAGAUUGGCAGCUUGUUUGGAAAUUCAGGUCAAGAACGGACGGGUAAG
rnacentral:misc_RNA from 1 species